AAUCAUCUUCCAAAGAUCCAGGAAGAGAUUGAAUAAAUUGGUCAAUAGAAAAGUCCGGAUCAAAAAAAUCUUCAGAAAUUGUUGAAAUAAUCUCCAAGUCAUGUUUUUCCUUGAAAAUCACUUCUUCUUCUUCUCUUUUCUUUUUUGCUUCUUUCUCUUUUUUCUCA
rnacentral:ribozyme from 13 species